rnacentral:rRNA from 1 species
GAUCCUGGCUCAGGAUGAACGCUGGCGGCGUGCUUAACACAUGCAAGUCGAACGGAGUGCCCAUGACAGAGGAUUCGUCCAAUGGAUUGGGUUACUUAGUGGCGGACGGGUGAGUAACGCGUGAGGAACCUGCCUCGGAGUGGGGAAUAACACAACGAAAGCUGUGCUAAUACCGCAUGAUACAGUUGGGUCGCAUGACUCUGACUGUCAAAGAUUUAUCG